rnacentral:lncRNA from 1 species
GUCACUCGUUUCUCUUUUUGUUUAUAUAGUUGCAAUCCUUUUAGUAAUAUACGUGCAUGUUCAUUAUUUGCCAUUCUACUUUUCUUACGAUUUACAACUUUUCUAGUAACAUCUCCUUUAUUAUUGAUUAAACUUAAGAUGAUCGACAACAAAAAAAAUUAGGAUGAAAAUCGUGCUUAAACUUGCUCUUUAAUUACGACCAAAAAAAAAAAAAAAAAAAAAACUUGCUCUUUAUGUGGUAGCUUCUUCAAAAAGGAGCUCUACCAUCUAAGAUUGAAAACAAAA